rnacentral:ncRNA from 2 species
AUGAAGGUAAUAGGAGAGAGGCUUUUGUAGCCCACCGAAGAUGUUAAUCUUUCAGGUACCAUUAUUUAUGG